UAUGUAGGGUGCGAGCGUUAAUCGGAAUUACUGGGCGUAAAGCGUGCGUAGGCGGUUCGUUAAGUUCGUUGUGAAAGCCCCGGGCUCAACCUGGGAAUGGCAAUGGAAACUGGCGGGCUGGAGUAUGGCAGAGGGGGGUGGAAUUCCGCGUGUAGCAGUGAAAUGCGUAGAGAUGCGGAGGAACACCGAUGGCGAAGGCAGCCCCCUGGGCCAAUACUGACGCUCAGGCACGAAAGCGUGGGGAGCAAACAGG
rnacentral:rRNA from 1 species